UUGACAUCACUGAUUGGAGUGUUUUUGAAGCUGCUGCCACCGAUCUGGACGAGCUCACAGAGACUGUAACAUCUUAUAUCAGUUUCUGUGAAGACAUGUGCAUUCCUACCAGUACUUAUCUAACUUACAGCAAUGACAAACCAUGGUUCACUGCAAAACUCAGACAGCUCCAUCAGGCCAAAGAAGAUGCUUACAGGAAGGGGGACAAUGUCUGGUAUAAACAGGCUAAAUACACACUGGAAAAGGAGAUCAGAGUGGCAAAGAGGAAUUAUUCUGAAAAAAUAAGGACUCCGUUCACUUCCAGCGACUCAGCAUCAGUGUGGAAAAGUCUGAAGGAGAUCACCAACUACAAGACACCAUCCCCCAGCACUGUGGAGAAUCAACAACUGGCAGACAAUCUGAAUGAGUUCUACUGCAGGUUUGAAAAAACACCCAACACCCACCCUGAACACCUCUCCACACAACCGUUCACACCAUUCACACCUCCUGCAACCCCCCUCUCCCCCACACCUGCAAUUCAGAUCAGCGAAGAUGAGGUGCGCCAGGUCUUCCGAAAGCAGAAAAGUAAAAAAGCACCAGGCCCAGAUUGUGUUACACCAGUCUGUCUGAAAUCCUGUGCUGACCAGCUGGCCCCCAUCUUCACACAGAUCUUCAACAGAUCACUGAAGCUGUGUGAAGUCCCUUCAUGCUUCAAACGCUCCACCAUCAUCCCCAUCCCAAAGAAAUCCAAAAUUACAGGACUAAAUGACUACAGGCCUGUGGCCCUAACAUCUGUGGUCAUGGAGUCAUUUGACAAACUGGUGCUGGCCCACCUGAAGGACAUUACUGGACCCUUGCUGGAUCCUCUUCAGUUUGCCUACAGAGCAAACAUGUCUGUAGACAUUGCUGGCAACAUUGGACUGCAUUAUGUUCUGCAACAUCUAGACAGACCAGGGACUUAUGUGAGGAUCCUGUUUGUGGACUUCAGCUUGGCCUUUAACACCAUCACUCCAAACCUCCUCCUGCUCAAACUAACUCAGCUCUCCGUGCCCACCUCCAUCUGUCAGUGGAUCAACAGCUUCCUGACAGACAGGCAGCAGCUAGUGAGGCUGGGAAAAUACACAUCCAGCACCAGUACGAUCAGCACUGGAGCUCCUCAGGGCUGCGUUCUCUCUCCACUGCUCUUCUCCCUGUACACCAAUGACUGCACAUCUAAAGACCCCUCUGUCAAGCUCCUGAAG
rnacentral:lncRNA from 12 species